GCCAAAAAGAAUUUCACUACCAAGUUAUGAAAAAACAUGGAGAAAUCUUAAAAGCAUAUUGCUAGUCUGGGCAUGAUGUCUCACACCUGUAAUUCCAGCACUUUGGGAGGCCAAGGCAGGAGGAUUGCUAGAGCCCAGGAAUUCUAGGCUGUAUAUGAUUGUGCCACUGUACUUCACCCUGGGUGACAGAGAAGAAAGAAAGAGAAAGAAAAGAAAGAGAGAGAGAAAGAGAAAAAGAAAGAGAAAGAAAAGAAAAGAAAGAGAGAGAGAGGAAGGAAGGGAGAGAGAGAAAGGAGGGAUGGAGGGAGGGAAGGAAAGAAUGGAGAGAGAAAGAGAGGAGGAGAGGAAGAGAGAGAAAGAGAGAGAAAGGAGAAGAGGAAGAGAGUGAGAAAGAAAGAAAAAAGAGAAAGAAAGAGAGAAAGAAAGAAGCAUAUUAUUAAGUGAAAGAGGCCAAUCUCUUUUUUGAGAUGGAGUGUAGCUCUGUUGCCCAGGUGUUGUGACUUCCCCUCAGGGGAAUGUGUUUGCUAGGUCUGCCUGUCCUUUUCUCCUCUGGAUUGGCUGAAUCCUAUGUUAACAAUUUUCCAGUUUAGGGGCUGGCCUGGCUGGAAGCUCCUGGAUCUCUGUGGCUCCUCUGCCCUCCCUGCAGCUCUCUACCCUACCUUCCUGUGGCCCACUGUCCUUCUGGAAAGAAUUUCAUAAACAAAUGACAGCCACUGUAAGCCCUGUCCUGGUAUAAAUAUGUACCCUGACACCCAACUGGGGAGAUGGAAAUUCAAGAUUGGUGAGAGAAGAAGAAAAUCCUGAGUAACUCAUUAGCACCACCUCCAACCAAGCUUAAUCUUGCCUCCUUUGGUGUCAGACAGCGGCAAGACGAAAAACAUCUUCCCUCCUCGCCCUCCAGGGAUGAAGCUGUCACACAGAACAGACUUGAGGGGGGCCCACCAACUGUGCGCCCCACUUCCAUUUCCCAGGUCUUGAUUAAGACUUUUAAAGGCAGUUAGCUCUGAAAAGAUUAGGGCAUCUCCACCCCCAUGAAUAGUACAAAAUGAAAUCAAUAUUAAGCCACAAAAUAAGUGUGAGGAAGCCCUUCAACAUUUUGAAUUUUCCCAUGAUGACAGCUUUGAAGUUGUUUAUUUUUUGAAAUAUCAAAUAUGAAAUUCUUGGUUUUCUUUUUUUGAGAUGGAGUCUUGCUCUGUUGCCCAGGCUGGAGUGCAGUGGCGCGAUCUCGGCUCAUAGCAAGCUCUGCCUCCCGGGUUCACACCAUUCUCCUGCCUCAGUCUCCUGAGUAGCUGGGACUACAGGCGCCCGCCACCACGCCCGGCUAAUUUUUGUAUUUUUUUUUUUAGAGACGGGG
rnacentral:lncRNA from 10 species